UGGAGUCUUAGAGAUAUACUAAACAAGCUUGAAAGUAAGUUUGAUAUUUAUGUACAUUGUUUCGACGUUCCAUUGUAGUACCCGGUCUCGUAGCUCAUAAGUAAUUGCAACACACUUCAGCACAACUUACGUCUCCUCGGAGACACAAUUACUCUUGAAAAAUAUAGGAAAGACUAUGUCUGCAACUACUGGUACAGUAAAAUGGUUUAACGAAUCAAAAGGUUUCGGUUUCAUUCAACAAGAAAACGGCCCUGAUGUUUUUGCUCACUUCCGUGCUAUCACAGGUACUGGCUUUAAAACUUUGGCCGAAGGUCAAAAAGUUGAGUUCACUGUAACUCAAGGCCAAAAAGGUCCUCAAGCUGAGAACAUCGUAGUACUUUAAUUAUCAAAUAAUUAAAAUUCUAUAAGAAAAAGCAAACCUUAGGGUUUGCUUUUUUUA
rfam:Paraglaciecola arctica BSs20135 DNA, contig: CTG013.